rnacentral:rRNA from 1 species
AUUGAACGCUGGUGGCAGGCUUAACACAUGCAAGUCGAACGGUAACAGGAAUUAGCUUGCUAAUUUGCUGACGAGUGGCGGACGGGUGAGUAAUGCUUGGGAAUCUGGCUUAUGGAGGGGGAUAACUACGGGAAACUGUAGCUAAUACCGCGUAAAAUCUUCGGAUUAAAGGGUGGGACUUUCGAGCCACCUGCCAUAAGAUGAGCCCAAGUGGGAUUAGGUAGUUGGUUAGGUAAAGGCUGACCAAGCCGACGAUCUCUAGCUGGUCUGAGAGGAUGACCAGCCACACUGGAACUGAGACACGGUCCAGACUCCUACGGGAGGCAGCAGUGGGGAAUAUUGGACAAUGGGGGGAACCCUGAUGCAGCCAUGCCGCGUGAAUGAAGAAGGCCUUCGGGUUGUAAAGUUCUUUCGGUGACGAGGAAGGUUGAUAGGUUAAUAGCCUAUCAAAUUGACGUUAAUCACAGAAGAAGCACCGGCUAACUCCGUG